UACAGAGGGUGCGAGCGUUGUCCGGAAUCACUGGGCGUAAAGGGCGCGUAGGUGGCGGCCCAAGUCCGUGGUGAAAGCUCGCCGCUUACACGGCGAGUCGGCCACGGAGACUGGGUGGCUCGAGCACUGUAGGGGCAGAUGGAAUUCCGGGUGUAGCGGUGGAAUGCGUAGAGAUCCGGAAGAACACCGGUGGCGAAGGCGGUCUGCUGGGCAGUUGCUGACACUGAGGCGCGACAGCGUGGGGAGCAAACGGG
rnacentral:rRNA from 1 species